UACGUAGGCAGCGAGCGUUGUUCGGAGUUACUGGGCGUAAAGGGUGUGUAGGCGGUUGUUUUAAGUUUGGUGUGAAAUCUCCCGGCUCAACUGGGAGGGUGCGCCGAAUACUGAGCGACUAGAGUGCGGGAGAGGAAAGUGGAAUUCCUGGUGUAGCGGUGAAAUGCGUAGAUAUCAGGAGGAACACCGGUGGUGUAGACGGCUUCUGGACCGUAACUGACGCUGAGACACGAAAGCGUGGGUAGCAAACAGG
rnacentral:rRNA from 1 species